UCAAUUCCUCUCUCUCACUUUCCCUCACCCUUUCUCCACUUUUCUCUCUGAAAAAAUUCUCACUUUUUUUCUCACACUUUCCCGGAUAACCCAAUCCAUCCCAUCUUAAAAAGCAGAAAAUUUUCCCUCAAGAAAGUGGUUUUCCUUACCACAAAAACAGACGUAUUCAAUUCAAGAAACGGGUUCAAAGAUUUUCCCCAGAAAAUCUGAUUCUCUCUCUUCAAAUGGGUUUUUAAUUUUGAAAUACUUAAUUUCUUAAUUUAAUUUAAUUAAAAAAAAAAAUUUCUUCUGUUUUUGCAGACUACUGACGGUGAUGAGGAAGUUAUGUACAAAUUUUCCAAUCUCUCAAAUCAAGAAAAGGGUCUGAAGAUUUUCUCUGGAAAAACCCAAGUGGUCUGUAGCUACUAAGAGAGAUGCUUACAAGUGCUGGAGCAAGAGAAAUGAUUUCUAUGCAGUAUAGAGACCUUUUUGUAUCAACACCCUAAAAGACUGAGUUCAAGAGAAUCACUUCACCUCUAAAGUACCAGACAAGAUGUGUUGCUGCCUUUCCAGAUCAGCAAGGUUUCUUGUUGAUAGAUCGGAUCCAAGAAAGGCAAUUUCCUUGUUCUGGUCUGCCAUAAAUGCUGGGGACCUGGCUGAUAGUGCCUUGAAAGAAAUGGCAAUUGUGAUGAAACAAUUGGGUCGAUUUGAUGAGGCAAUUGAGGCUAUCAAAUCUUUUCGUCAUCUCUGCCCUUAUGAUUCCUAGGAAUCUCUUGGCAAUGUGUUAGUUGAACUCUACAAGCUAGUUACAUAUAUUGGGGCAACAACAACAAGAAAGCGGGAGUGUGGCAAGUAUAAAUGGUGAGUGU